CCUACGGGUGGCAGCAGUGGGGAAUAUUGCACAAUGGGGGAAACCCUGAUGCAGCGACGCCGCGUGGGCGAAGAAGUAUUUCGGUAUGUAAAGCCCUAUCAGCCGGGAAGAAGAAAUUACGGUACCUGACUAAGAAGCACCGGCUAAAUACGUGCCAGCAGCCGCGGUAAUACGUAUGGUGCAAGCGUUAUCCGGAUUUACUGGGUGUAAAGGGAGCGCAGGCGGCACGGCAAGCCUGAUGUGAAAGCCCGCGGGCCAACCGCGGGACUGCAGUGGGAACUACCGGGCUGGAGUGCCGGAGAGGGAGGCGGAAUUCCUGGUGUAGCGGUGAAAUGCGUAGAUAUUAGGAGGAACACCAGUGGCGAAGGCGGCCUACUGGACGGUGACUGACGCUGAGGCUCGAAAGCGUGGGGAGCAAACAGGAUUAGAUACCCUUGUAGUC
rnacentral:rRNA from 1 species